rnacentral:rRNA from 1 species
AAAGUUCUUUUAUUUAGGAAAAAAAGCUUGAUAGGAAAUGAUUAAGCCUUGAUUGUACUAAAUGAAUAAGUGACAGCUAACUAUGUGCCAGCAGCUGCGGUAAAACAUAGGUCACGAGCAUUAUCCGGAUUUAUUGGGCGUAAAGGAAGCGUAGGCGGACAAAUUGAUUUAUUGUUAAAGGCACUUGCUCAACGAGUUGUUUGUGAUAGAUAUCGUUUGUCUAGAAUUAGUUAGGAGAUACUGGAAUUCAAUGUGUAGCGGUGGAAUGCGUAGAUAUAUUGAGGAACACCAGAGGCUAAGGCGAGUAUCUAGGACAUAAUUGACGCUGAGGCUUGAAAGCGUGGGGAGCAAAUGGGAUUAGUUACCCCAGUAGUCCACGCCGUAAACGAUGGGUAUUAGGUAUUUGGUCUAGGACUGAGUGCUGUAGCU